ncrna:unclassified sequences S15-Flavobacteria ribosomal protein leader
UAUCUUUGCACCCGUAUUGAUCAUGGUGAUCAGUCUACAUAAUAAUCAUUUACAAAAAUAUUAGCAUG